GCAGGCGCGCAAAUUACCCAAUCCUGAUUCGGGGAGGUAGUGACAAGAAAUACCAUUGUCGGACACUCUGUGUACGAUAUUUGGAAUGAGUACAAUUUAAACACCUUAACGAGGAACAAUUGGAGGGCAAGUCUGGUGCCAGCAGCCGCGGUAAUUCCAGCUCCAAUAGUGUAUAUUAAAGUUGCUGCGGUUAAAAAGCUCGUAGUUGGAUUUCGGAAUGUCGUUGGUCAAAGCUCGUCCUUGUGGCGGUGCUGGGCUGAUGCUUCCUAUCUUUCCUAGUGGGGUUAAACUCAUUAGGAAUCAUUUACUUUGAAAAAAUUAGAGUGUUCAAAGCAGGCGUACCUUGCCAUUGAAUAUUACAGCAUGGGAUAAUAGAAUAUGACGUUGGUCUUAUUUUGUUGGUUUCUAAGGCUGAUGUAAUGAUUAAUAGGGAUAGUUGGGGUCGCUCGUAUUGAGUUGUCAGAGGUGAAAUUCUAGGAUUUACUCAAGACGAACUAGUGCGAAAGCAUUCGACAAGGAUGUUUUCAUUAAUCAAGAACGAAAGUUGGGGGAUCGAAGAUGAUCAGAUACCGUCGUAGUCUCAACCAUAAACUAUGUGGACCAAGGACCCGAGGACGUUACAUGGAUGACUCUCCGGGCACUUUGUGAGAAAUCAUAAGUAUUUGCAU
rnacentral:rRNA from 1 species